rnacentral:sRNA from 1 species
GGAGAAAGGAGGCAGGAGCCAGGAACCUGGGUUCUCAUCCUGGUUUCGCUAACUACAUCCCUCCCCAUCACCAGCCUCCAGGUCUGCUCUGUGAAGUGGGCUCAUAAUGCCUGCCUUGCCCACUCACAUCUCGCUGGGUUCUUGGGAACCUAGAGAGCACUACACAAGCAAAGAGUACCUGGGGCCAUGGUUCUCUCUGUGGCCACUGCCUUCCAGCCCAUCUCCGUGCAGGUCUCCAUCUGCCUUCCCCUCUCUGUCCCACUGUUUCUCUCAGUCCCCACCUUGCCUGCCCCCUGGAUCCCAGGUUUGGGAGAGGGGCAGGAGUGACAGGCCUCACCCCCACAGGCCUGGCUGUGAUGCACUCACAGGGCAGCGAUUACCUGGACAUCGGCAACAACCCGAGAGUGGGCACCAAGCGGUACAUGGCGCCCGAGGUGCUGGACGAGCAGAUCCGCACGGACUGCUUUGAGUCCUACAAGUGGACUGACAUCUGGGCCUUUGGCCUGGUGCUGUGGGAGAUUGCCCGCCGGACCAUCGUGAAUGGCAUCGUGGAGGACUAUAGACCACCCUUCUAUGAUGUGGUGCCCAAUGACCCCAGCUUUGAGGACAUGAAGAAGGUGGUGUGUGUGGAUCAGCAGACCCCCACCAUCCCUAACCGGCUGGCUGCAGACCCGGUGAGGCCUCUGCUGGGACUAGGAUGGCGUGGGGUGGUGGCUCACGGCUGGGAUUUCUGGGCCCAGGAACUUGUGUCUGAGGCCUCUGCUUCAUCUCAUAGAUACUGAGUGUCCUGGUUAGGGCACCUCUCUAGGUACUCCCUCUUUCAACCCUGGCCCAUGCUCCCUGCCCCCAGGGCCAUCUGGUCAUUCUGGGAUUUUAAGA